CCGGGGCUCGCCCCACCCCGCGGGGCACCCCGGGCUCGCCGUGCUGGAUAAGCGGAGCCGCCACGUUGAGGGAAGUUUGCCCCGUGUUCCCCCCCACACCCCUCGCCCGCGGGUGUUGUGACUUCGCACAGGACCCCACAAAUCCCAGCACACGCUGCCGGGAGCCCUGCGGGGAGCUGCGAUCCCCGCCGUGCCCCCCCGGCCCUGCCCUUAUCCCGGUGACACUCGUGUCCUCCUAUUAACCCUGCGGAGAAAGGACAAAAGCUAAACUAUGAUCCUGCGCUGCUUCCCCCCCCCAUCCCGCUGCCGGCUCCAUGAGCUUCACAUCCUCCUGCUAAGGCUGAAAGGAACAAGAACAAGAGCUGCUGAUGGUUCUCAGGCUCUCCCUCCCUCAUGGCCGGAGUGGAAAAGCACGUUUAAAUCCCGAGCUCGGCUUUCCCACGUGGUGUCUCGCUGAGCUGCUGUCACAGCCACGCCGCGCUCUCACAGGGCACCGGAGCUUCUCCCCUGCCCUGCCGGGAAGGCACAAGGAGGCAGCCUUCAUCGAGCGAGGAGAGCGAAUCUUGGCAAAAAGAGCACCGAAGGAUGUGAACCCCUUGGAAAAUUCCACUUCCUGCCCAGCACUGCGUGUCCUUGGGUCUCUCACUCAUUCCCAUGCACUUAACGAGGGAUUUCUGCCUCAGGCUACCACACCAACUUUCUAAAUAAAUGCCGCGCACACCCGAGCGCGGUGCUCUGCAGUUAAUCUCAGCCCAGCACCAGCUCUCUCCU